UCAUCACUUACUCCCCUGCGCUGUGGUGCCCAAACCUAGAACCAACAUCCAUCUCACCUCUCUCUUCUCUAGCCACUCUCUCCCAGUCUCCCUCAAGCUCGUCGCUGGCUCCUCAAGCUCGCGUCGCUCCCUCAAGCUCGCGUCGCUCCCUUAAGCUCGUUGCUGCCUCAAACUCGCGUCGCCGCCUCAAGCUCGUCGCAAGCUCUGUCGUGCUAAGUUCAUCUUCCUGCUUCGGCCAUCAACGCUUCCUCCGCCGUGAGUCUGGGUUUAGGGUUUCAGCUUCGGCCCAGAACUUUCAUCAACGCUUGCUUCGUCUCUCUGAACUCUGAAGCAAAGUUCAAAAUCACCCAACCAAACCCUAGGUUCUCCCUGCAAUGGUUCUGCCGUAGUGCUGUCGCCGUCCAUGCUGUCGGCGCCUACGCUUCCUCUCUUGUAGCUCGGCGUCCUCCUUCCCCCUGUCCCCGUCCUCCCGGGCUUCUCUGUUCGAGGCUUGGAGCAGCUUGCCGCCGUGUCGCCGGUCGCCGUCGUUUCGCUGGUCGUCGUCCGUGUCUCCGUUGAAGCCCUAGGGCACGCAGCGCACAAGGCAGCCACGCACCCUCAGUCCCCUCACCCUAACGUACGGCGCCACCUUUCCCUCUCAGCCCUCUCUCUGUCUCUCACCAGCCACCGUCACCACUCACCAGUCUCAGAGUCACCUUGGUCCGCGCCAAAGCUCCUCUGUUCGACUGCUUCUCUCACCUUCACGGCCACGGUGCUGCACUGCUUCUCGGUGACGACGACCCUCAGUGACGACGACACCACCAGUGGCUGCAAAGUGCGAUGGCGCUUCUCUGCUCUAUUUUCCCGGGCUGCUGUCCCCGGUCGUCUUCUUCUUUGCCACCAUCAGUCAGCCACUAGAAGCCCCGGCGAAGAGUAACGGGAUUUCACUGUUUCCCACGUUUCCCACUCAUGGCUGAGCUUACUUCAACUCCAUCCACUUCUAACAACGCCAAUUUAUCUUGUUUCCAACUGACGGUUUGCUUGUAUGAAUGGUGGCUGGUUAAAGCUAAACAUGGAUUCGAAGGAAAGCAGUUAGCCAUUGGAGGCAUUGCAUCAAAAACAGAAGAAUUAGUGCGUGUCUUCACCAGUGCUCCCAUUGCGAAACGGCAUGAUCUGUUCUCUCUUGAGACCACAGAUGGGGUUUAUAUUAUCAUAAGGGGUUUCAUUGACAAGCAGCGCACCAUUGAUAAUGGUUUCCCUCAUGAGGUUUUCAAUCAUUUCUUAUUUGGUUUUCCUCAAAACUGGGAAAGUUUUGCAGCAGAUUUGAUUAGGGAUGAAUCAACUAUUGGCACUAAUUUGGGUAGUGCUGUUCCUAAAAAUGUAUCAUCAAUUGAUCCUGAGAUCUUCUCUGCCGGCACAGCUCAAGAAAAAUCUAUCCUGUCUUCUUCGAAACCUUUAAAGGAAGCAUUUGGAGCUCAUGGGAAGCCACAUGCUGAGGUUGAAUGGCAUGAUUCUAUCGCUACAUGUGGGGUUAAUGCUUCUCAAGGUAGUGGCAGCAUUAGAUGUGUUACCAGGUUUCAUAACAUGAAAGUCUGUCAGCAGAAGCAGCUAGCUUCUGGAAUUACUCUCAAACAUCCAGAGGAACUGAACAGUCCAGUGACACCAGUUCAGUUGCAAUCUCUGGAAAAAGUGACUACAGAAAAAGUAAAUACACCGUCGGAGCAUCUCGAUGAAAGCUCUACAUCUAGAGUUUCUAGCACUUUAUUUGAAAAUAAAGAAGACUGUUCUAGGAGAAACAAAGCUACAAGUGAAAAAAGUCAGAUCACGUGUGAAAGAAAAAGGACUAAAUCUGCCACUGCAACCAAAUAUCCACGAAAAAGGGGUUUAAGCCCCUCGAUCAUUGGUGAGAAAGAGAAGAUAUCCUCAGUGUCUGCUCUAUCAAGUUUCAAAAAGUCCAGAUCAGGAAGGUUGCUUCUACCACCCCUAGAGUUUUGGCGUAACCAGAUACCAAUUUACAAUGCAGACCAUGAGGUUACAGAAAUUCAGGGAGGUGCAUCUGUGGUUCAAUAGAUAAAGGUUCUUCAGCAUCAUUGAGCCGCUCAUGAUAUUUAGCAAGUGGAGGUCAAUCUGUGCUAAAGCUAAUACAAAACUAAGAUGUUAACUGUUACUAGUUUGAAGAAAAUCACAAAAUUUCCUAGGAGAAUUUGACAUAUUUUAGAGGUUCAUGAUGUGUAAAGAGGCUUUAAGUAUGGAGCUGGUAUUCUCCGUGAAUGUGAAUAGGUUUUCCCCUUCGAAGAUUCCCAUGGCACCUUCACCAGCACUGACUACGAGGUGAAGGAGUAUAGGGAGCAGUGGAUGAAGAACGAAGACAUCGCUUAUGUUGUAGUGAAUUGCAUGUGCCAUUAUGAUACCGGGUUUAGGGUAAGCCUUUCUUAUUGCAUUAAUAACAUUUAUCAUAAACUAGUCAUCUCAGAAUGAGUAACAAUUAGAUUUAUAUAUUUUCUAUUGAAAACAAAUUGGCAUGAUUGAUUGCUGAAAUUAGUGGAAUUUUAUGGUAAAAUAUUAGUUGGUUAGCUCAUGUGCCUAGCAAGUAGAAUUUGAUCAAGUUUAGUACUUGGAAGCAUCAAUGACGAUAUGAUGGGAUUUUUUCAUGUUUUUAAUUCCUUGUGGCGUGUUGUUUGUCAUUGCAUUAAUGCUGUGUUGUUUUCUUAUAUUGCUAUGUUAUUUAUUCAAAUAUGUGUAUCUUCUCCUAAGGCAUACAAGUGGAUGAUGCAAAAACCCUGGUUCGGUUUCAUUUCUAGCAGAUUGCAUGGGUAAUGAUUAAUGAACAAAAAGUUUUCAAAGUGGCGUGGGAUUUUUGAUGAUAUAAUUGAUCAUGGCUGUGUCCCUAGUGAGUCAAUGUUUUGUGUAUUAAUUUCUGUAUAUCCAGUGCGCCUGUUCAAGAUAUUCUGGAUGAAGCAUUCAUCAUUUACAGUCAUAUGAUUGAGGUUACCAACCUUGCCUUGGCUUGCAUAAUUCCCUCUUCGUGUCCUUGUAAGUAAACCAGGGAACUUUUCAAAGCAUUACCUAAAACAAGCUAAAUUUAUCUAUUGUAAUUUAGUUGCAACUGGACUUGGUGUACAUUACUACAUAAAGAUAGCAAUGAAGGCCUAAUUUGGCUACAUAGUUAUCAGGAUAUCGUAGAUAAAUAAAGGAUAUCGAUUGAAGAAACAGAUGCAAUGUGCUGGAAUUGAGGAAGGCAGGGACAUGCUUUUAUCCAUAUUGAGGGCUUCCAUGAGGGAGGGGGAUGCGGUCGAAGAAGGAAAAGCUUGGCUAUUGAGGGAGAUGCAGGGACAACUAAUAGCAAGACAUGAUGAAGCACAUACUAAAAUAACUGAGAUACUGGUGCAAAUAUUGAGAAAUAGAACUUGUUGGUACUUGGUAGACAUGAUGACAGAUUUUGUCAAUAGUGGUUUGAAGACAUUGGCACCAUCAUAUGUACUUUGGUUGAGUUUACAUGAUAAAUGGGAGCUGGAAUUGUAUCAGUGUCUGGAGAAGUGCCCUAAUUCUGCGAAUAAAACAUGAUACUAUUGCCAUCUCUGUGAUGCACAUCAUCUUAAGUACAUGUCUUGUAGAGAUUACAUAAAAGCAACUGAGACAUAUAAUUUCAUGUGCCAGAAAAAGUAUGAAUUGAAACACCAUUAAUGGAAAAGCUUGAAUAUAUCUUGAACUUGAGCAGGAAAAUUGUUAAAAAAACCAGUAAACCUGAUGCUAAUCAAAGGGUAGAGGGAAAUGUUAAGUAGGUUGCUUUUAGGUGGUUUGCAGAUUGAUUCUGAUGAUGAAAUGAAGGAAUGUAUAAUCCAUUUUGAUUUCAAUAAUAAAACUUACAACCAUGAGAGUAAUAUAUAUGGCUAGUUUUACGAGUGGCUGCAUCCUUCUUGCAAGUUAAGUGAUGACAGUCAGGAAAUACCAGAGAUAUUUUGUAUUGUUGCAACCUCUUAUUUUGGUUCUAUGCUGAUCAGUUAGUCAAGGAGUCAACCUACAGUUUCUAAACUAGUAGUCCACAGGUGGAUAUCGCCUAGUGUUCUUGCAUAGCGGUAUAUCUAUGGUGGCCAUAGAAGUUCAGCGGGAGAACGUUUUGAUGAAUAUAAAGGGAAGUAACACAGGUGUUGACAUCAUUGUCAAAGGGUUAAAAGCCAUGUACAUCAGAAGUAAACAGGUCUAGAAAUUGGUUGAACCUUAUAUAAAUUAUAUGUUAGAGAAUUUAAAAGAUUUUCUUUAGUGCAGGAGAUAAUGCUUUAAGGAAGGAUUCAAUGGAUACUCAACAUAAAUUUCAAUAGUAAGUCAGAUUCUGAUGGAUGAGGGUAAUAAUUCAACAACAAUGAUCAUUGCCUUAAGAGCUUGCUGGACAAAAUUAUCUUUUGAUGAGUAAAAUUUGUUAAUUUCCUCUGAAUGUAAAGAUAAUGCUUGGUUUUGUUAAUUUCCUCUGAAUGUUUAGCUAUUACUUGGCAGUGUAAUAUUGGCAUUGCUGUGUUAAUUGAAAGGCUUCAUGUCAUGAUCA